UACGGGGGGAGCAAGCGUUGUUCGGAUUUACUGGGCGUAAAGGGCGCGUAGGCGGUCGUGACAAGUCACUUGUGAAAUCUCCGGGCUUAACUCGGAACGGUCAAGUGAUACUGUCGGACUAGAGUACAGAAGGGGCAACUGGAAUUCUCGGUGUAGCGGUGAAAUGGCGUAGAUAUCGAGAGGAACACCUGCGGCGAAGGCGGGUUGCUGGGCUGAUACUGACGCUGAGGCGCGAAAGCUAGGGGAGCGAACGGG
rnacentral:rRNA from 1 species